UACGUAGGGUGCAAGCGUUAAUCGGAAUUACUGGGCGUAAAGCGUGCGCAGGCGGUUCUGUAAGACAGAUUUGAAAUCCCCGGGCUCAACCUGGGAACUGCAUUUGUGACUGUAGAGCUGGAGUACGGCAGAGGGGGAUGGAAUUCCGCGUGUAGCAGUGAAAUGCGUAGAUAUGCGGAGGAACACCGAUGGCGAAGGCAAUCCCCUGGGCCUGUACUGACGCUCAUGCACGAAAGCGUGGGGAGCAAACAGG
rnacentral:rRNA from 1 species